rnacentral:rRNA from 1 species
GUCCUACGGGAGGCAGCAGUGGGGAAUAUUGCACAAUGGGGGAAACCCUGAUGCAGCGACGCCGCGUGAGCGAAGAAGUAUUUCGGUAUGUAAAGCUCUAUCAGCAGGGAAGAAAAAUGACGGUACCUGAGUAAGAAGCACCGGCUAAAUACGUGCCAGCAGCCGCGGUAAUACGUAUGGUGCAAGCGUUAUCCGGAUUUACUGGGUGUAAAGGGAGCGCAGGCGGGGCGGCAAGUCUGAUGUGAAAGCCCGGGGCCCAACCCCGGGACUGCAUUGGAAACUGCCGUACUUGAGUGUCGAAGGGG